rnacentral:rRNA from 1 species
CUCUAGUGGGGAAUAACCCUGGGAAACCGGGGAUAAUACCGCAUAAGCUCGAGAGAGGAAAGCAGCAAUGCGCUGGAGGAGGAGUCCGCGGCCGAUUAGCUAGUUGGCAGGGUAAAAGCCUACCAAGGCAGAGAUCGGUAGCCGGCCUGAGAGGGCACACGGCCACACUGGCACUGAAACACGGGCCAGACUCCUACGGGAGGCAGCAGUGGGGAAUCUUGCACAAUGGGGGAAACCCUGAUGCAGCGACGCCGCGUGAGCGAUGAAGCCCUUCGGGGUGUAAAGCUCUUUCGGCAGGGAAGAUUAUGACGGUACCUGCAGAAGCAGCUGCGGCUAACUACGUGCCAGCAGCCGCGGUAAUACGUAGGCAGCGAGCGUUGUUCGGAGUUACUGGGCGUAAAGGGUGUGUAGGCGGUUGUUUAAGUUUGGUGUGAAAUCUCCCGGCUCAACUGGGAGGGUGCGCCGAAUACUGAAUGA